GAUGAAGAACGUAGCGAAAUGCGAUAAGUAAUGCGAAUUGCAGAAUUUCCGUGAGUCAUCGAAUCUUUGAACGCACAUUGCGCCCAUUGGUAUUCCGAUGGGCAUGCCUGUUCGAGCGUCAUUUACCCCCUCAAGCUCCGCUUGGUGUUGGGCGUCUGUCCCGCUUCGCGCGCGGACUCGCCCCAAAGGUAUUGGCAGCGGUCGUGCCAGCUUCUCGCGCAGCACAUUGCGCUUCUCGAGGCACCGGUGGGCCCGCGUCCAUCAAGCUCACCCCCCCAGUUUGACCUCGGAUCAGGUAGGGAUACCCGCUGAACUUAAGCAUAUCAAUAAGCGGAGGA
rnacentral:misc_RNA from 1 species